ACAGCUAUGACCAUGAUUACGAAUUCGAGCUCGGUACCCGGGGAUCCUCUAGAGAUUAGAGUUUGAUCAUGGCUCAGAGCGAACGCUGGCGGCAGGCCUAACACAUGCAAGUCGAACGGAUCCUUCGGGAUUAGUGGCGGACGGGUGAGUAACACGUGGGAACGUGCCCUUUGGUUCGGAACAACUCAGGGAAACUUGAGCUAAUACCGGAUGUGCCCUUCGGGGGAAAGAUUUAUCGCCAUUGGAGCGGCCCGCGUCUGAUUAGCUAGUUGGUGGGGUAAAGGCCCACCAAGGCGACGAUCAGUAGCUGGUCUGAGAGGAUGAUCAGCCACAUUGGGACUGAGACACGGCCCAAACUCCUACGGGAGGCAGCAGUGGGGAAUCUUGCGCAAUGGGCGAAAGCCUGACGCAGCCAUGCCGCGUGAAUGAUGAAGGUCUUAGGAUUGUAAAAUUCUUUCACCGGGGACGAUAAUGACGGUACCCGGAGAAGAAGCCCCGGCUAACUUCGUGCCAGCAGCCGCGGUAAUACGAAGGGGGCUAGCGUUGCUCGGAAUUACUGGGCGUAAAGGGAGCGUAGGCGGACUGUUUAGUCAGAGGUGAAAGCCCAGGGCUCAACCUUGGAAUUGCCUUUGAUACUGGCAGUCUUGAGUACGGAAGAGGUAUGUGGAACUCCGAGUGUAGAGGUGAAAUUCGUAGAUAUUCGGAAGAACACCAGUGGCGAAGGCGACAUACUGGUCCGUUACUGACGCUGAGGCUCGAAAGCGUGGGGAGCAAACAGGAUUAGAUACCCUGGUAGUCCACGCCGUAAACGAUGAGUGCUAGUUGUCGGCAUGCAUGCAUGUCGGUGACGCAGCUAACGCAUUAAGCACUCCGCCUGGGGAGUACGGUCGCAAGAUUAAAACUCAAAUGAAUUGACGGAAUCGUCGACCUGCAGGCAUGCAAGCUGCACGCCGAGGCCC
rnacentral:rRNA from 1 species